GAUGAACGCUGGCGGCGUGCCUAAUACAUGCAAGUCGAGCGAACGGACGAGAAGCUUGCUUCUCUGAUGUUAGCGGCGGACGGGUGAGUAACACGCGGAUAACCUACCUAUAAGACUGGGAUAACUUCGGGAAACCGGAGCUAAUACCGGAUAAUAUUUUGAACCGCAUGGUUCAAAAGUGAAAGACGGUCUUGCUGUCACUUAUAGAUGGAUCCGCGCUGCAUUAGCUAGUUGGUAAGGUAACGGCUUACCAAGGCAACGACGCAUAGCCGACCUGAGAGGGUGAUCGGCCACACUGGAACUGAGACACGGUCCAGACUCCUACGGGAGGCAGCAGUAGGGAAUCUUCCGCAAUGGGCGAAAGCCUGACGGAGCAACGCCGCGUGAGUGAUGAAGGUCUUCGGAUCGUAAAACUCUGUUAUUAGGGAAGAACAUAUGUGUAAGUAACUGUGCACAUCUUGACGGUACCUAAUCAGAAAGCCACGGCUAAUUACGUGCCCACAGCCGCGGUAAUACGUAGGUGGCAAGCGUUAUCCGGAAUUAUUGGGCGUAAAGCGCGCGUAGGCGGUUUUUUAAGUCUGAUGUGAAAGCCCACGGCUCAACCGUGGAGGGUCAUUGGAAACUGGAAAACUUGAGUGCAGAAGAGGAAAGUGGAAUUCCAUGUGUAGCGGUGAAAUGCGCAGAGAUAUGGAGGAACACCAGUGGCGAAGGCGACUUUCUGGUCUGUAACUGACGCUGAUGUGCGAAAGCGUGGGGAUCAAACAGGAUUAGAUACCCUGGUAGUCCACGCCGUAAACGAUGAGUGUUAAGUGUUAGGGGGUUUCCGCCCCUUAGUGCUGCAGCUAACGCAUUAAGCACUCCGCCUGGGGAGUACGACCGCAAGGUUGAAACUCAAAGGAAUUGACGGGGACCCGCACAAGCGGUGGAGCAUGUGGUUUAAUUCGAAGCAACGCGAAGAACCUUACCAAAUCUUGACAUCCUUUGACAACUCUAGAGAUAGAGCCUUCCCCUUCGGGGGACAAAGUGACAGGUGGUGCAUGGUUGUCGUCAGCUCGUGUCGUGAGAUGUUGGGUUAAGUCCCGCAACGAGCGCAACCCUUAAGCUUAGUUGCCAUCAUUAAGUUGGGCACUCUAAGUUGACUGCCGGUGACAAACCGGAGGAAGGUGGGGAUGACGUCAAAUCAUCAUGCCCCUUAUGAUUUGGGCUACACACGUGCUACAAUGGACAAUACAAAGGGCAGCGAAACCGCGAGGUCAAGCAAAUCCCAUAAAGUUGUUCUCAGUUCGGAUUGUAGUCUGCAACUCGACUACAUGAAGCUGGAAUCGCUAGUAAUCGUAGAUCAGCAUGCUACGGUGAAUACGUUCCCGGGUCU
rnacentral:rRNA from 1 species